rnacentral:rRNA from 1 species
GGAUCCAGACUUUGAUCAUGGCUCAGGAUGAACGCUAGCUACAGGCUUAACACAUGCAAGUCGAGGGGCAGCAUGAACUUAGCUUGCUAAGUUUGAUGGCGACCGGCGCACGGGUGAGUAACACGUAUCCAACCUGCCGAUGACUCGGGGAUAGCCUUUCGAAAGAAAGAUUAAUACCCGAUGGCAUAGUUCUUCCGCAUGGUAGAACUAUUAAAGAAUUUCGGUCAUCGAUGGGGAUGCGUUCCAUUAGGUUGUUGGCGGGGUAACGGCCCACCAAGCCUUCGAUGGAUAGGGGUUCUGAGAGGAAGGUCCCCCACAUUGGAACUGAGACACGGUCCAAACUCCUACGGGAGGCAGCAGUGAGGAAUAUUGGUCAAUGGACGAGAGUCUGAACCAGCCAAGUAGCGUGAAGGAUGACUGCCCUAUGGGUUGUAAACUUCUUUUAUACGGGAAUAAAGUGAGGCACGUGUGCCUUUUUGUAUGUACCGUAUGAAUAAGGAUCGGCUAACUCCGUGCCAGCAGCCGCGGUAAUACGGAGGAUCCGAGCGUUAUCCGGAUUUAUUGGGUUUAAAGGGAGCGUAGGCGGACGCUUAAGUCAGUUGUGAAAGUUUGCGGCUCAACCGUAAAAUUGCAGUUGAUACUGGGUGUCUUGAGUACAGUAGAGGCAGGCGGAAUUCGUGGUGUAGCGGUGAAAUGCUUAAAUAUCACGAAGAACUCCGAUUGCGAAGGCAGCUUGCUGGACUGUAACUGACGCUGAUGCUCGAAAGUGUGGGUAUCAAACAGGAUUAGAUACCCUGGUAGUCCACACAGUAAACGAUGAAUACUCGCUGUUUGCGAUAUACAGUAAGCGGCCAAGCGAAAGCGUUAAGUAUUCCACCUGGGGAGUACGCCGGCAACGGUGCAACUCAAAUGAAUUGACGG